UUCAACACAAAUCACCGUUCAUCUUCUCCUAUCCUUCCUUUAAGCUUGCUCUUCUCCUCUCUCUUUGAUUCGAGUUGAAAAUAGGGCAAGUGUGACUUCUCCGUCGUUUCUGCUUUGUCGCCACACGCGUCGCACGAGCUCCUUCUGUCACUGCUCGCUUGCACGAGCUCCCUCCGCCACCGCUCGCUCGCAUAAGCUCCCUCCUCUGCUGCUCGCGUUGCACGAGCUUCCUCUGCCGCCUCUUAGCUUAUGUCUCUCUCUGUCUCGCGCCAUCCAUCCUCGCCGUUCACAGCCUCGUCGAGUCAUCGUGUCACCAGAUCUGAAACCUACAUCUUGCUCUAGGUGCUGUAAAUUCAGAGGUUCUUCUUGGAAGGUGUUUGAUCUAAUGACUGAACUGAUUUCAUUAUCCCUAGCCCUAGCCUUGUCCCUUCCCUGUUGCUGCUGCAGAGAACUGAGUUUCUAAAUUCUAAGGUUUAGCAUUUUCUACCACGAAAGAGAAAUUAGCUGAAGCCUUUUUAGAAUAUGGCAAUGUCCUAAAUGAUGGCAAGGCUGCUGCAGCAGAGAAGAAAAAUUCCAAGGAUGAAACAUCUUCGAAAGAUUCACAGGGGCUGCUGCAUGCCCCAUUUUCCACUUCUUUCUAAUUGUGGCACUUGAAAGUGCUUGGAAUUGGAACUAGCUGUGUGAGAUCUUGUAUUU